GAUGAACGCUGGCGGCGUGCCUAAUACAUGCAAGUCGAGCGAACAGACGAGGAGCUUGCUCCUCUGACGUUAGCGGCGGACGGGUGAGUAACACGUGGAUAACCUACCUAUAAGACUGAGAUAACUUCGGGAAACCGGAGCUAAUACCGGAUAAUAUAUUGAACCGCAUGGUUCAAUAGUGAAAGACGGUUUUGCUGUCACUUAUAGAUGGAUCCGCGCCGCAUUAGCUAGUUGGUAAGGUAACGGCUUACCAAGGCGACGAUGCGUAGCCGACCUGAGAGGGUGAUCGGCCACACUGGAACUGAGACACGGUCCAGACUCCUACGGGAGGCAGCAGUAGGGAAUCUUCCGCAAUGGGCGAAAGCCUGACGGAGCAACGCCGCGUGAGUGAUGAAGGUCUUCGGAUCGUAAAACUCUGUUAUUAGGGAAGAACAAAUGUGUAAGUAACUAUGCACGUCUUGACGGUACCUAAUCAGAAAGCCACGGCCAACUACGUG
rnacentral:rRNA from 1 species